rnacentral:lncRNA from 1 species
UAACACCAGAGACUAGGGCCUCAGUGAUGACAGAAAAAGAUAGCAGUCAAGCUUCUGCUGCAUCAAGUCAGCCCUUUGCGGGAACUGUUUUAAGAGCACAAAGUGUAUCUCAGGAAGCUUCACCUAGCGUCUUUACUUCAAAGCCUCUCAUAGAUUCUUCACUUGUGAAAAAUACAUAUGUUGGUUUAAGUUCAGGCGGUGCCCAUAUUGGACAUCCAAAUUUUGGUAACCAGCAACCAAGUGACGAAUGCCUUAAAAGAAAAUCUGAAUCUCUAUCUGGUUCAGAAGCAAGGGGUCAUUCAGCUGCAUUGGUGCAACCUGCUCUAGGAAAUCAUAAUGGGAGUGGAGGUGCACACAAGGGCCUUCGGAUGGCUAACGUUGUACAUCGAUUCAAGAGCUUAGUUGAAUCUUUGGAAAUUGGUGUUGUGCUAUCUGGGAGGUUGUGGUCCUCAAGCCAAGCAAUCUUCCCAAAAGGUUCGUCUUCUCCUGACAAUUGGCAUGUAUCUAUGCAUCUUCCAGCUUUGUUUUAAUUAGAAGAGAUCUUGUUAUAAGGAGUUAAUCUUUUGCAGCUUUGCAUCCUUGAAUGAUUUUUAUGUUAUAUGUAGCAGUAUUCAUGGUAUAGGAAUGUUUUGCUGCUAUUAAUUACUGGUUUACUCCUUAUCUGAGUGUGUUUACUGAUAUAUUUGAUUUCGCCAGCACUUUGAUUUAUAUUUUUCUGUUUUCCUUAACUUGUUUUACCUUUGUAAACACAGGGUUCAGGAGCAGAGUAAAAUACUUCAGCAUCGUGGAUCCAACACAAAUGGCAUACUACAUAUCUGAAAUAUUAGACGCCGGACCACAGGGACCUCUGUUUAUGGUAAAUUUCAGCCUUUUGUACCAUCUGUACAUCUGUUCUUUCCGUAUCUUGAUAUAUGUUGCUUGAUGCAUUACAGGUGACUCUGGAAAACUGUCCAGGCGAACUUUUUAUCAACGUCUCUCCUGCCAAGUGCUGGAGCAUGGUCCGUGAGAGGCUGAAUAUGGAAAUACGGAGGCAACUCAGUACGGGAAGAGCUAAUCUUCCUGCACUACAGCCACCGGGAUCAGUUGAUGGUUUUGAAAUGUUCGGGUUGCUGUCACCGGCAAUAGUUCAGGUGAGGAAAGUAUUCACUUGACCGCAUUCUGAAACACACUACACCUCAAGAAAUGGGGAAAAAAAGAAGAAACACUGAAGCACACCAAUGCCAUGAGCAGUGGAACCUGUUUUCAGGUUGCAUAUAUAACUGCAUGAUGAUUCCGCACAUGCUCGGCUUGUGGCUGCGAAUUUCCCAAGCCACUGGUGACUGACAUAUAUGCCACUGAAUGAUUUCGUUUAAUUCAUCCCAGGCAAUCGAGGCACGGGAUAGAGAUCGCAUCUGCACAGAGUACUGGAGAUCCAGGCCUCAUGUUGUCACUGAAGAUCGUGCGACGGCGCCACCUCAGGCUCAGGGUCCUCUGCAUGCGCUGAGGGGUCUAUUCCAGCGAGCCAACCGCAAUGAGCUGCUAGCCCUACGGAGUCUACUGGUGAGCAACAUCAGCCCGGACGACUUCUCCAGGCGGCAGGCUACCCAAAUCCUCGACGAGGAGAUCGCCAAGCAGUGGCGCUGACAGGCGUAAAUACAACUCUGUAAUCUCUUGAUGGCAUGACGGGACCAAGCAGUUUUCGACCCUGACGAGAGAGCGGCUCCUUCCGUUGCCCCCCGUGCCCAUUCUUUGUAUUGUUGUGUCCAUGCUCCAUGCCAUAAGAUCUUGUCCCCAUUUGGAUGCGAUCGAAUGACCGACGACGGCUCAUCAACUGACCAGCGUACAUACCGUCUGUCUGGAAACUCUUGUGGUGUUGUAGGUUUAGUUAUUUUUCUUUUAAACGAAAUAUUUAACCUUCUUUUUUAGUGAGGCUGAAACGCAGGCUCAUGAGACCUGAGUUUUUUACAUGAAAGGUUGUGUACAUCAGAAAUGUGCAGGGCCUGUUGACACUACUAGCAGAUAGGCGUGAUUUUUGUGCCGAGUUGGUCAGAGUCGAACAGUCCAUGUGCUUCAGGUACUCAUCCUGCAUGGUUGACUGGGAGUUGGUACUUGCAAGCUGCUGUUACAGACCAGUAGUCCAAUGAACCCCAUCUGACUGGUCGCUGCCAAGUGGGCCAACUUUUCACUCUGACCAGUCUCUGAAUAUUCUGCAAAUAGGGAUGAUGAAAUAUCUGUUUUAUAAAAUCUAAUCCAUACAUAUUAGAAUUCUAAUCUAACUGAGCAUUCGAUUCGGAUAUAGCAUGAAUAUUAAACGUUUAGAUUUAGAUACAACUUCUGUGCAAGCAAACCUUCUAGACCUUUAGAUUCUUUAGAUCAUGAUUCAGCCGUAUAUGCAUUCAUAGUUUGUUAGAGAUUUUUUUAAUAAAGUGCACAAGCUGACGGGGAAAUUAAGUAUUAAAUAUAAACUACGGAUGAAUCAUGAUCUAAAAAUCUAAGAAUAGAAGCUUGCACCUAAAACUUAUUUGUAAAAAUAGUCGUUUCAUUAAAUAAUAGAUAUAUCCAAAUUUAUUUUUGAGCUUUUUCUAUUUGAUUUCAGAUCUGCUUUAGACAAAACUAUGGAAUAUGCGAAACAUUGAAAGUAAUUAAUAGUAUAUCUAUAAAUAACUAUUAAUAGACAAAACUAUGGAAUAUGCGAAACAUUGAAGUCGUUCCAUGCUUAGUGACUAAUUAUUUAAUUGUAAUAUUACUAACGAAACAUUGAAAGUAAUUAAUAGUAUAUCUACAAAUAACUAUUAAUGUUAUUAAUGAUACAUAAAUGGUAAAUUAGUUUUAGUAUUUUUAUAAUUUAGUUAAAUAUAAUUUAUUUGUUGCUUUUACUAAAUUAAUUUAUUUAGUUACUGAUGUAAAUUAGUUUACAUAAUUCGUUUCAUGAUAAAUAUUAUAUAAAUAAUAACUAAUUAAUUGAUAUAUUUACUUUACUUUGACCAUCAUGAUUAAUUUAGUUUACUUUGAUAGUGGAGAUAAUAAAGAAUGUACUUUAAUUUUACUUCACUUUGGUUAUCUAUGAGAUUAGUAGUAAAGUUUUAUUCAUCUAUCUUGAGUUUGAUAACAUGCACUUUGAGUUUACCUGAGUAAUUAUCUGAGCAGAUAUCGGAAUCCGUUACAUCCAUUUCUUACUCAUAUUCGAUAGUAUCCAUAUCCCUAUUUGAAUUUGAAUUAAAACAUGGCAAAAUUUGAUAUCCGAAUUCAACUUCAUGCAAAUUUGACUUGUUUUCGUCCCUACUUGUAGUCCCGUCUACCAGCACGGAGAUCGGUGACGGCGAAUCCUCCAACAUUGUUUUUCUAAUAGUGAUCGACUACUUACUAGCAAACAUGUGCUUAUGCAUUACAACAUAAUCUGAUACAUAUUUGAAAUGGACAGCUAUCACAGUAAGACAUGGGUUGUUCAAACCCUAUAAGAGCUUGUUCGGUUAGUUGAUCUGUUUUAAGAGCACAAAGUGUAUCUCAGGAAGCUUCACCUAGCGUCUUUACUUCAAAGCCUCUCAUAGAUUCUUCACUUGUGAAAAAUACAUAUGUUGGUUUAAGUUCAGGCGGUGCCCAUAUUGGACAUCCAAAUUUUGGUAACCAGCAACCAAGUGACGAAUGCCUUAAAAGAAAAUCUGAAUCUCUAUCUGGUUCAGAAGCAAGGGGUCAUUCAGCUGCAUUGGUGCAACCUGCUCUAGGAAAUCAUAAUGGGAGUGGAGGUGCACACAAGGGCCUUCGGAUGGCUAACGUUGUACAUCGAUUCAAGAGCUUAGUUGAAUCUUU